AAUUUGAAUUAAUAGUGUCUAUCACCAAUGGGCUCCUAUGCUUUAGCUGGUUUCCAAAUGGAAAACAGGAGUAGUUGUCUGUCUCUUAAGUCCUGUGGUGCCUAUUAAAUUAUGACAAGACAAACCUCAGAGGUUUUAAGUCACUUUUCAUGUUCUGCUAUUGAAGAUAGUCCAGCAUGAAUUAGUUCAAGGGCUCUAUAAGAUAGAGUCAAGAGGUCACUUAUGAAGCAAGUAAGAUGCUCUCUCCCAACCCCAGUAUACUGAGCACAUCCUGUUUCUUGAACUCCAUUAGGUAAACGAAGCUCGGGAAAAGGCAACUCCUCUGAUCAUGAAGGGUGUUGGGGUGAAGAGAGCUGGACAUUUAACCAGUGUGGGACCAGUGGGAAUAAGAAGUUCAAGAAAACAAAACUAAAAGAAGACUCUUUCAUUGGCUCAGCAAAGCUGGAUGAAGAAUUUGAAAAGAAAUUCAACAGCCUUCCUCAAUAUAGUCCUGUUACUUUUGACCGGAAAUGUGUACCUGUCCCAAGAAAAAAGAAGAAGACUGGAAAUGUGUCCUCAGAACUGACUAAAACCAGCAAAGGUCCUUUCCAGUCUCAGAAAAAGAACUUAUUCCACAAAAUUGUCAGCAAAUAUAAGCACAAAAAGGAGAAGCCUAAUGUUCCAGAAAAAGGAAAUGGGGAUAAAUGGUCAAACAAGCAACUAUUCUUGGAUGCCAUUCACCCUACAGAAGCCAUAUUUUCAGAAGAUAAAAAUACCACCGAGCCUGCUUAUAAGGUUAAAAAUGCCCUAUCCAUUCCCAACACUCCAGAACCAACAAUGCAAGAACCUUUGGUGGGCAGCCAAAAGAGAAAAGCAAGGAAAACCAAGAUCACACACCUUGUCAGGACAGCAGAUGGCCGGGUAUCACCAGCAGGAGAUGACAAACCAAAGGAGCAACUGCAGAGGAGUCUCCCUAAAGCGGCCGAGACAGACUGCAGUGACGAAUGUGCACACACCACUGAGGUAGAGGAAAUGCGAAGCAGCACUCCAGAAAUGCCUGCUGUAUCUGCAUUCUUUAGCCUUGCUGCACUGGCCGAAGUGGCAGCCAUGGAAAAUGUGCACAGGUUAGUGGCAGAACUUGGAUGGCGAAAGCAACGCAAAGAUCAUAUCAAUCUUUCUGACAUGAGUUUUGGCAUUUUUCAUAAUGUAGUAGGGUUCAGACUUUGUUCAAGUUUAUGAUUUAUAUAAGAUGUUACAAAUGUUUAUAUGCUGAUUAACACUGUGCGAAAAUUUAAGGGAAUAUAGCCAGCCAAGUCUUUUAUUUUUCUUAAUUUUUUGAAUAUAUUAUCUUAUGCCUAAUCCUGAUUUGCAUUUAAAUAUAAACCCGACAAUAAGGAAGCAGCAUUCUCUAACCAUUAAGUGUGAUAUCAGAGAUGGAUUUAACUCCUAGAUCAGUCACUGGAAAACAGAAAUAUCUUGAGCAGUAUCAUUAACUUCUCUACCCUCAGCUUUUUCUUUUAUAAAACAGAAGUAGGUGUCACUCAUUUCAUAGAGAUGUUAUGUGGGAUGACUAUGAAGUCCCAGUGCUUACAUGUGGAGAGCACAUCCAACUGAGGAUGGCGCUAGUAGCAGUGGUAAGACCAGCUGUCAGAACAGUGUGGUUUGGAAAGAAGUUUCUUGGCAUCUGACUCAUGGCAGGCAGAAGGCCUAGAUUUUUUUUUUUUUAUCAACUCUCUGAGAUUUAUUGCAAAGUAAUUUAUUUCUCUGUACCUCAGUUUUCUCAUAUUUCCGUAGGCAUAAUGAUAUCCCCAAAGAAUCACAAAGUUGUAAGGACCAGGUGAAAUCAUAGUUGUGAAAACCCUUUGAACUCAGUGGAGCCCCAUAUGAAGUAUAUUAAGUUCUAAGUGUAUAAUUGGGUAUUCUGCUACUUGAUGGAUCCUUUGGGAAGCAAAAAAGGCCUUUUGUAAAUUAAGGUAUUUCAUAUUUUUAUUCAAAGUAGAUUACCUGUGAAUGAAUUACUUUCUUAGAUUUGCCUUUGCAACAGAACAAAUGGUUAGUGUUCUUAAUAUCUAGUACCACAGAUCACUCUGGGAAACUUUGAUUGUAAAUUUAGCCCUUACCUGUUAAAGCAGACCUACCAGGCUUAAUGCAGUUGUACCUGGGUUGUACCACAUUUAGUCGUUACUUAAGCAUCAUCUAGGUUCAUGAUUUAGAGGGUGGCCUGCAGAAUUAAGAGUAAUUGGGCUCAAGAGUGCAAGUAAUAUAUUUGGAAAAUCUAACAUAAAAUCUAAUCUAAAUCUAUGUUGAGAUUCUGGAGAGUUUUAUAAAUGCAGGAAAUAGGAAGUUGGAACAAACCUUUGUUAAGUGGAGAUUUAUGUGCUAGGAAUUUUUAAGAAAGUUCAUUAAGUAUAAUACAAUCCUUUAGCUUUCUCAGGUAGGUCUUUUUAGUCCUAUUUAAAUAAUGGCACAGAUGAUUAACUAAGUUGUCAGGAGCAGACAGCUAAUCUUUGCCUGAGACAAGAUUUGAACUUGAGGUCUUUGAAUUUGAGCCUAAGCAAGUGCUGGUAAUGCUGGUCAUAAAGAACCUCACUGACCUUCCUCUGGAACUAGAUCCAUCCAUUAGUUGCUCUCUGUCAUAUUCAUAACUCCUCUCCUUUGUCCAUUUUUUAAGUUAGACUUUCACUGUAAUUUC
rnacentral:lncRNA from 1 species